rnacentral:rRNA from 1 species
UACGAAGGGGGGCUAGCGUUGCUCGGAAUCACUGGGCGUAAAGGGUGCGUAGGCGGGUCUUUAAGUCAGGGGUGAAAUCCUGGAGCUCAACUCCAGAACUGCCCUUGAUACUGGCGAUCUCGAGUUCGGGAGAGGUGAGUGGAACUGCGAGUGUAGAGGUGAAAUUCGUAGAUAUUCGCAAGAACACCAGUGGCGAAGGCGGCUCACUGGCCCGAUACUGACGCUGAGGUGCGAAAGCGUGGGGAGCAAACAGG